rnacentral:rRNA from 1 species
CCGUUGCCGGCGACCGGCGCACGGUGAGUAACACGUAUGCAACCUGCCGUGGCAGGGGAGUAAGCGGGGGAAACCCGUCUAAUACCGCGUAACGCGGCCUUGGGCAUCCCAAGGCCGCCAAAGGGAGCAAUCCCGGCCACGGAUGGGCAUGCGGCGCAUUAGCUAGUCGGCGGGGUAACGGCCCACCGAGGCGACGAUGCGUAGGGGUUCGUGAGAGGAAGGCCCCCCACCACUGGUACUGAGACACGGACCAGACUCCUACGGAAGGCAGCAG